UUGACACACUUGUCGUUACAGUUAGAGUACUUAACUAGGAGGAGUGGAGUGACCCAGCCACAAUCACAAAGAGACAUCGAAUCAUUUCUUCAGAACUGAAACUGGGAAAGCAGGACAAGGUAGUCUGAUCGACCAUGAAGCGGUCUUCUUCUUCUCCGUCCUCGCUCGCACGCGCCGUGGCAAUCCUCCUGGUGAUCGUGUGGUGCUGCUCCCUGCUGCCAUUCCCAUGCUCUGCUGUUUGCAAAGGGCGUGCAUUUGGCGACUUUGGUCAAAGCGCUGGAGCAGGGACAAGGGGAGGAGGAAACCAAUUUGAUCAUGGGGGUAGUGGGGCAACACUAGGGGGAGAAGGAAACCCUGUUGGUCAGGGGUUUGGAGGAAACCAAGUAGGACGGACGCCUCCGGCGCCGCGGGGUAAGACACCGAGGAACCACAGGUGAUGUGGCGACUCCUGCCAUGACGUUCAUUUGGCGCCCCCAGCGGUUACUGGAAGGUGAUGGCUGCUGGUCUUCCUAGGAGUAGUUUGGUAGGAUGCUUAUCUUUGGCGCAGGUGCUGCCUUUCGGUUGUAGUUUGUGCUAUUCUCCCAAACUUUUUUAAACGUUUGUAUCACGUGCGAGGUUUUUUCUUCUU